UUGUGACCCAUGUGGUUGACGUGAAAGAUACCUCACCUGCUGAUGUGGACACACAUACUUAGCAAGGGGUUGAAUUUAUGAGAAGAAGUGAGUGCGUGAGGAUUCCAUAAAAAAGUAUUACUAAUUUCAUAGUGAAAGUGGGGUGCAAAAAUGUGAAAGAGAGGCAUAGGGUUUGUAGCUUAAGGAAUCCAGUAUAAUAAAUAGUUAACAACAAUUGUAUUGGGGUAGAGAAUUUCUAAGCAAGUGUCUAUUUCUUACCCCUCUCAGUAUCUCUAUUCCCAUCUCCCUAUUUCUUUUAUCUUUUGUACCUUUCCUUAUUUUUUCAUUGCAAAUCUCUAUCUUGUAAUUGCCUGAGUUUAAUACAAUCAGUUGAUUCCUAUCUGUGGUUUGAGAUUCUAGUUUGUUUCACUAGUGGUUUCAUCCAGAGGUCUUUCAAUAGAGGAUCCAACCAUACUCAAGGCUUUUGUGGAAGAAUCGGUUUAAGGAAGCAAAUAUUUCAAUCUCUAAGGAACUAGAAGGAAUUUAUGGUAUGCUUCAGAAGGUUGUUUGUAACAAGACGACAAACCAGAUUCAUCCACCGAUGACACCUACCCUGCAUCAUAAGCCUGCAUAGGUGGAGUUUAGCAGGUUUUGUGGUGCGGAUUCAGAGAAUUUGAUAUUCCAAGCAGGGAACUAAUUUGUUUUUUAUAUCAUCGAAGAUGGACAAAAGCUGACUAUGGCAUCUUUCUACCUAGACGGUGAAGAUCUAAAGUGGUAUCAGUGGUUAUUUCAAAACAAAAAACUAGUGGGCUGGACACCCUUCACUAAAAAGGUUCAAAUUCAAUUCAAGGAGAAGGGACUCGACUCAAUAGAGGGAAGGUUAGAAAAACUCCGAUAGGUGAGCACGGUUUUAAAGAUACAAUGGAGGUUUGAAUCUAUUGCUAACAAAAUAGAUGAUAUCUCUGAUAGUUUCUUGGUAAGCCUAUUUAUUUUUGCACUUAGGAAGGAUAUUAAGAACUCAGUCUUGAGUCACGAGCCCAAAGAAUAUGAUGAUGCACUUAAAUAGGCUCAUAUACAUGAGCGUCGAAUCCAAGAUAAAAAAUAUCCAACCCGACCAGUGCUUUCCAACAAAGGUACACCUUUGUUACCCAGUCCUAAUUCAUGGUCAUCUAAUCAAAAUCCCUCCUCUAUAUUAGUCGAUAACAAUACCUCUGUCCGAGUUGCUUCAGGACCAUCCUUGAAGCAUAUCUCAUAUGCUUAAAUCUAGAGCCAUCACGAGCGUAGGCUAUGUUAUUAAUUUAAGGAAAAAUAUAAAGUUGGUGACCAAUGCAAAUCUCUUCCCAAAUUACUACUUCUUACAAAUGAUUCUAAUUUUGAUCAAACUAUUACAGAGCCAAUUAUUCUUGAUGACAUAGUAGCAUAGGUACUGCAAUAUUUAGAGGUCCAGGAAUAUUCAGCUAUUUCCUAUCAUGCUUUGGCCUGUGGAAAUAUCUUUUCCACACUUUAAUUUAUUUUCCAUGUGAAUGGAUCUCUAGUCCAAGUCCUAGUGUAUGGGGUAGUGAUUGUAACUUUAUCCACGAUAAAGGAGCAAAUUUCCUUCAGCUAUCAAUCAAGACCAUCCCUAAUAUUUUGGUGGUGGUGGGAAGUUAUCAGCAUGUGCAAGGUCAUAACAUUGUAGACUAAGUUUCACUCUCAAUUUAAGGUUUCAAUCUCACCUUUCACUUAUAUAUGUUAUCCUUACAUGGCGCGGAUGUGAUUUUAGGUGUCUCUUGGCUCUUAAUUUGGGAAGAAUGGUUAUUGGAGAUGGCCAAUGCCUAUUUGAGUUCAAUGACCCAGGGUCUACUAUUUGCUUGAAGGGGUUGGAACCCUCUAGUACUCAACCAAUACAUUUGCAUAGCCUUCGAUGAUGCUUGGCCACGGAUGCAAUUUUAUCUUAUCAUUGUCUGUGGGUAGUGUACCCUGCGCCUGUUACUAAUGAGCAUCUUGAUCAUACCCUCCUUUCACUACUGGGGUCAUUUACUGAGGUAUUCCAGAAACCACCAUGUCUACCACCAUCUAGACCACAAGACCACAAUAUAUUUUAUGGCCGGGGCAGAACCAGCUAAUGUUAAACCGUAAUGAUACCCUUAUUUUUAGAAGCAAAUAAUGGAGUAUUUAGAAAUAUAAAUGCUCUAAGAAUAAGUAAUUUUAGACAGUACAAGUCCAUUUUCUUUACCCGUAUUGUUGGUUUGAAAAAAAGAUAGAACGUGGAGGUUUUAUGUGGAUUAUAAAGCCUUAAAUGCAAUCACCAAUUGGGAUAGGUUCCUAAUUCCCAUUAUUUAUGAGCUAUUUGAUGAACUAUUUGGUGUUGUGUACUUAUCUAAAGUUGAUUUGUUGUCUGGUUGUAAUCAAAUGCGAGUUAGAUUAGAUGAUGUGGCAAAGACAGUCUUUUGGACUCACAAUGGACAUUAUGAGUUUUUAGUGAUGACAUUUAGGUUAUCUAAUGCACCAUCGAUGAUUCGGGAUAUCAUGAAAUGGAUGUUUAGAACAUGUAUGCAUUGUUUCUUCCCUAUAUUCUUUGACGACAUUCUUGUGUAUAGCUCUUCAUAGGAGUAGUACUUGAAGCAUGUGCAAAUAGUGUUGGAUUUGCUGUGGCAGCGUAAGUUAGUUGCCAAACAAAGAAAAUGUCAAUUCGGACAAACUUCAAUUGAUUAUUAGAGCAUGUGAUCUCAUAUCAAGGACUUAGUAUGGAUCCUUCAAAGAAUUUUUCAAUACAACAUUGGACAGAACCUAAGAAUGUGAAGCAGGCAUGAAGUUUUGUUGGACUAGCGGGAUAUUAUCGAUGAUUCAUAAAUUAUUAUGCAGACAUUUCUAUUUCUCUCACGGACCUCCUUCGGAAGGAUUCCUAUCACUGAACAGUUGCAACUCACAUCUCUUUUGAAACUCUAAAAAGCAAACUCAGUUCCAUAUCGGUGUUAGCAUUACCUGAUUUUACUCAAGCGUUCAAGCUUGAAAUGAUAUAUUGGGACAAGGUAUAGGGGUAGUUCUUGUGCAAAAGGGACACCCUAUGGCAUAUUAUAGUAAAAAAGUGAUCAAUAGAAUGCAAUGAGCAUCCACCUAUCAUAGAAAGAUAUUUUCUAUAACCUAAGCGGUUAUCAAGUAGAGAUAAUACUUUCUUGGGUGGAGAUUUACCGUUUAUAUCAAUCAACAAUCCCGUAAAAACAUGAAAAAUUAAACAAUUCAAACUCCAGAGCAACAAAAAUGGCUAAGUAAGUUAGUUGGUUUUGAUUUUCAGAGUAUCUAUCGGUUGGGAAAUUGAACAAAGUUAAUGAUGCACUCUCACGAAUGGUGAAUAUGUGUUCUUCAGUAUCUCUAUCCGAGGAUAUGAUCUUAAAGAUAAGCUCAAGUCCUUAAAUCAAACUCAUCCCGAAUUAGUGGCUCUGCAAUAUUCCAAACAAGACUCCUAUACUACUAAUUUGAAUUUUCACUUUUGAAACGGUUUGCUAUUUUUUUGGGGCUGCUUGGUUAUCCAACUAACUCAACCUUACACCAGAAAUUACUUCAUAAAUUCCAUAGCACUAAAGUGGGUGGGCAUGCUGGUGUUGCUCGUACUUAUCAUUGAAUAUAUUCCAAUUUCUAUUGGAAAGGUAUUAAAAAGGACAUACAAAGUUUUAUAUCUGCUUGCCAAGUUUGCCAACAAAUAAAGAUUCACAUCACCUGCCCGUAGGCUUAUUGCAGCCUCUACUAGUUCCUUCUAUAGUAUUUAAAGACAUCACAAUCGAUUUUAUCAUAUGCUUGCCUAGUCCAAAAGGGAAAUCCAUUGUCAUGACUAUCGUGGAUAGGUUAUCCAAAUAUGGGCACUUCAUUGCCCUUACCUCUACUUUUUCUACUCAGUCAAUUUUAGAGGACUUCGUGGUUGGCAUCAUUCGACUUCAUGGUACCCAAAUAUCUAUUGUCACUGAUUGUGACUCCUAAUUCUCACAUAAUUUUUGGUAGGAGCUGAAUCAUUUUCAAGGCACUACUUAGGCUAUGAGCAUCGCGUACGACCCUCAGACAGAUGGACAAUCUACGACUUUGAACAAAUUCUUGGAGCAGCACCUUCAUUGUUUAGUGGAUAAUGACCUAAAAAAAUCAUUUGCAAGGUUACAUUGGGUAGGAUAUUGGUACAAUACAUCCUAUAUGUCUUAAAAAAGAAUGACACUCUUUAAGGAAUCAUAUGGAAGGGAUUCUCCUAUAGUUGCACAUUACAUUUUGGGCAGCAGUCUUAGUGAUCUAAUCGAGACCUGUUUGGUAGACCGUGAUUCCAUAUUGGGCCUCCUCAAGACUAACUUGGUUUGAUAAAAAACACGAAUGGAGAAUUUAGCUGACAAGUAUCGUCUAGACGUGACUUACAAGAUAGGGGAUAGGAUUUAUGUAAAACUCAAACUUUAUCAUCAAAACAUUGUGUUUUUUCAACAACAUCCAAAACUGGACAGGCGCUACUUUGUACCCUUCAAAAUGAUUAAAUUCAUUGGUGAGUUUUCCUACUUUAACGACCUAAAAUUUUGAUAAAAUAUGUGAAAUUUGUGAUUUUGUGUGAUUUGACUGUUUUACCCCUCCCCAUAGUUGUAUAAUGGUAUUUCUGGGGAGUAAGGGUUAUUGGUAUUGUUUCUGAAGCAUUUUAGUACCAUUUAUGCGAUAUUGUGGUUUUUGAUGGCUAC
rnacentral:lncRNA from 1 species